GCGCGAAAACUCUGCAAUAAGCGAAAGCUUGACAGGGUUAUUCUGAGUGAUUUCCGCUAAGGAAAUCUUUUGGCACCUCUAAAAAUGGUGCAGAAUAAGGGGUGGGCAAGCCUGGUGUCAGCCGCCGCGGUAAUACCAGCACCCCGAGUGGUCGGGACGAUUAUUGGGCCUAAAGCAUCCGUAGCCGGUUCUACAAGUCUUCCGUUAAAUCCACCUGCUCAACAGUUGGGCUGCGGAGGAUACUAUAGAGCUAGGAGGCGGGAGAGGCAAGCGGUACUCAGUGGGUAGGGGUAAAAUCCGUUGAUCCAUUGAAGACCACCAGUGGCGAAGGCGGCUUGCCAGAACGCACUCGACGGUGAGGGAUGAAAGCUAGGGGAGCAAACCGGAUUAGAUACCCGGGUAGUCCCAGCUGUAAACGAUGCAGACUCGGUGAUGAAUAGGCUUCGUGCCUAUUCAGUGCCGCAGGGAAGCCGUUAAAGUCUGCCGCCUGGGGGAGUACGGUCGCCAAGACCUAGAAACCUUUAAAGGAAGUU
rnacentral:rRNA from 1 species